UACGAAGGGGGCUAGCGUUGUUCGGAUUUACUGGGCGUAAAGCGCACGUAGGCGGAUCGUUAAGUCGGGGGUGAAAUCCUGGAGCUCAACUCCAGAACUGCCUUCGAUACUGGCGAUCUUGAGUCCGGAAGAGGUGAGUGGAACUCCUAGUGUAGAGGUGAAAUUCGUAGAUAUUCGCAAGAACACCAGUGGCGAAGGCGGCUCACUGGCCCGAUACUGACGCUGAGGCACGAAAGCGUGGGGAGCAAACAGG
rnacentral:rRNA from 1 species